rnacentral:rRNA from 1 species
CAAUAGCGUAUAUUAAAGUUGUUGCAGUUAAAAAGCUCGUAGUUGGACCUUGGACCUGGACAGGCGGUCCGCCUCACGGCGUGUACUGUCUUGCUGGGUCUUUCCUCUUGGUGAUCUGUUGUUUCGGCAGCAGGGAUCCAGGACUUUUACUUUGAAAAAAUUAGAGUGUUCAAAGCAGGCUCGACGCCGGAAUAUAUUAGCAUGGAAUAAUAAAAUAGGACGUGCGGUUCUAUUUUGUUGGUUUUUGGAAUCGCCGUAAUGAUUAAUAGGGACAGUCGGGGGCAUUAGUACUCACAUGCUAGAGGUGAAAUUCUUGGAUUUUGUGAAGACUAACUUCUGCGAAAGCAUUUGCCAAGGAUGUUUUCAUUAA